GGACGGUUAGCUCAGUUGGUUAGAGCGCUACAUUGACAUUGUAGAGGUCAUAGGUUCGAACCCUAUACCGUCCA
rnacentral:tRNA from 1 species